GGGGUUGUAGCUCAAUGGUGGAGCACUUGCUAGCAUGUAAGGGGCCCUGGGUUCAAUCCUCAGCAUCACAU
rnacentral:tRNA from 1 species